UAACAUUCAGUUGAGAACUCUAAUGAGACUGCCAGUGGAUAAACUGGAGGGAAGGUGGGGAUGACGUCAAAUCAUCAUGCCCCUUAUGACCUGGGCUACACACGUGCUACAAUGGCCGGUACAAAGAGUUGCGAAACUGUGAAGUUAAGCCUAAAUCUCAUAAAGCCGGUCUCAGUUCGGAUUGUAGGCUGCAACUCGCCUACAUGAAGGUGGAAUCGCUAGUAAUCGCUGGUCAGCUAUACAGUGGUGAAUUCGUUCCCGGGCCUU
rnacentral:rRNA from 1 species